ACGGUCCUAAGGUAGCGAAAUUCCUUGUCGGGUAAGUUCCGACCUGCACGAAUGGCAUAAUGAUGGCCAGGCUGUCUCCACCCGAGACUCAGUGAAAUUGAAAUCGCCGUGAAGAUGCGGUGUACCCGCGGCUAGACGGAAAGACCCCGUGAACCUUUACUAUAGCUUGACACUGAACAUUGAAUUUUGAUGUGUAGGAUAGGUGGGAGACUUUGAAGUAGUCACGCCAGUGAUUAUGGAGUCGUCCUUGAAAUACCACCCUUUAACGUUUGAUGUUCUAACGAAGAUUGCGAAACGCGGUCUCGGACAGUGUCUGGUGGGUAGUUUGACUGGGGCGGUCUCCUCCCAAAGCGUAACGGAGGAGCACGAAGGUUUGCUAAUCACGGUCGGACAUCGUGAGGUUAGUGCAAUGGUAUAAGCAAGCUUAACUGCGAGACAGACAAGUCGAGCAGGUACGAAAGUAGGUCAUAGUGAUCCGGUGGUUCUGAAUGGAAGGGCCAUCGCUCAACGGAUAAAAGGUACUCCGGGGAUAACAGGCUGAUACCGCCCAAGAGUUCAUAUCGACGGCGGUGUUUGGCACCUCGAUGUCGGCUCAUCUCAUCCUGGGGCUGUAGCCGGUCCCAAGGGUAUGGCUGUUCGCCAUUUAAAGAGGUACGUGAGCUGGGUUUAAAACGUCGUGAGACAGUUUGGUCCCUAUCUGCUGUGGGCGUUGGAGAUUUGACGGGGGCUGCUCCUAGUACGAGAGGACCGGAGUGGACACACCUCUGGUGUACCUGUUGUCACGCCAGUGGCAUCGCAGGGUAGCUAAGUGUGGAAGAGAUAACCGCUGAAAGCAUCUAAGCGGGAAACUUGCCUGAAGAUGAGAUCUCCCUGGGGACUCGAUCCCCCUGAAGGGUCGUCCAAGACCAGGACGUUGAUAGGCCGGGUGUGGAAGCGCAGUAAUGCGUGCAGCUAACCGGUACUAAUUGCCCGUGAGGCUUGACCCU
rnacentral:rRNA from 1 species